CCUAAGGUGAGAAGUCAGCUCCCAAGAGGCCUCGAGGGGCCCAGGCUUGGCCAGUCUCUUGGCCAGUCUCUUGGCCCGCCUGUUGGCCCGCCUCUUGGCCCGCCUCUUGGCCCCAGUUGGUGGCGAGUUGAGUUCGGCUGUUGGUGCAGGGGCAGGCUCAGAGUCACAGAGGGCAGGAGGUUAAUUGCAGGCAGGGAUGGAGUCAGCAUCAUUUUACGGAUCUUUCUGAACCCCGUGGUGCUCGUCUGUGAACCCGCUGUCUGCGGUGUCGGGGACUGAAACCAGGAGAUCGGAAGCUUGGCUCAGGAACGGAGCUGCCGUCGGGCUCGUUGGGAGCCGGGUCUGCUUUUGCCGUGGGGAGCCUGUCGUCGAUGCUUUUAUGGAGGAUGAAUUGCUCAUCAAGCCUGAAAUGAGCAACUUCAAGGCUUCGCCCUUAAUGCCAAGGUGAUCUCGUAGGUGAGAGGUCAAUGAGAACCGAGCCCUGACCGGGUACUAGGGGAGGAGUGUGGAAAAAUCAACGACUAGUGCCCUCCUUCCACUUCUGAGGAGGACUGGGAAGAGCUUCUCCUUCCUUGAGGACAACAUUUGACGACCGCAACGGGCUGUGAAUCGUGUCACAUAUUAAGUCUCAAAUCGGGGAAAGGCCGGUUGGUGUUACUACUCGCUGUUGUAGCUUUAACUCCCCGCCGAGCACCGCGGAGGCCUCAGCUUUCUGUUCGGUGCCUUGCCGGCAGCGGAAGCCACGGCCCCUGGCCGUGACUCUUUCCGAGCGUUUCUUGGAAGCGUUCGUGUCCGUAUCGCCGCCGAAUAAUUCCGGUAUUUUGUCGAGUGGGACGCAGUCCCGGUCCCAUGUGGAUUGACAGGCCUAAGGGAGAAGGA